rnacentral:lncRNA from 1 species
UCGACUUCCCGCUCCCUGUCCUCCCAACCACCCCUACUUUCCUUCUCCCUGGAAAUGUGCAGCUUACGUUCUUCAACACCGAUGGUAAAUGCUCCGCAUAUCGAAUCUACAAGGACCAAUAACUCGUGAUAUCAUUAUAUGAAAAGGUUGGCAUUUAAUUCAAAAAUUCAUAGUAACUAUUAUAUACCUGCAAGUCUUUGAAACAAAUUGUUCCUGUUUCAGGCCAAUUAGCCGGCGGUCUGCACUCUUCAAUCACAAGGGGGGCUUCGCCUUUUAUUUUUGUGUACUGUAACACUCUUUCUACAGAGAUCAUCUUGUUCUCAGCAUUGCAUAUGUUCCAUAUAACCGAAGCCUGGAGAACAUUCAGAUUU